CAGGAACUUGAAGAUCACUGACUGGUUAUGUUUUGUUUUCUUCAUUUGUAGACCACAGAGGAGAUCACUGGCACGUUGGCGGGCACCAUCGUACCCUCUGACCUGGAGUGGAGUCCUUCCAACUUUGUCAGGGUUAACACCUCUCUAUAGGGAUGAAGGCCUGGUAACUGAGGUUAAAAUGCAGGGUUUUUGUGGCUCUUUUGGGCCUUCAAUGCAGUUGGAGCUCUGGUGGGGCAACUCAA